UUAAGUUAUUAAGGGCGCACGGUGGAUGCCUUGGCACUAGAAGCCGAUGAAGGACGUUACUAACGACGAUAUGCUUUGGGGAGCUGUAAGUAAGCUUUGAUCCAGAGAUUUCCGAAUGGGGAAACCCAGCAUGAGUUAUGUCAUGUUAUCGAUAUGUGAAUACAUAGCAUAUCAGAAGGCACACCCGGAGAACUGAAACAUCUUAGUACCCGGAGGAAGAGAAAGAAAAUUCGAUUCCCUUAGUAGCGGCGAGCGAAACGGGAAGAGCCCAAACCAACAAGCUUGCUUGUUGGGGUUGUAGGACACUCUAUACGGAGUUACAAAGGACGACAUUAGACGAAUCAUCUGGAAAGAUGAAUCAAAGAAGGUAAUAAUCCUGUAGUCGAAAAUGUUGUCUCUCUUGAGUGGAUCCUGAGUACGACGGAGCACGUGAAAUUCCGUCGGAAUCUGGGAGGACCAUCUCCUAAGGCUAAAUACUCUCUAGUGACCGAUAGUGAACCAGUACCGUGAGGGAAAGGUGAAAAGCACCCCGGAAGGGGAGUGAAAUAGAACCUGAAACCGUGUGCUUACAAGUAGUCAGAGCCCGUUAAUGGGUGAUGGCGUGCCUUUUGUAGAAUGAACCGGCGAGUUACGAUUUGAUGCAAGGUUAAGCAGUAAAUGUGGAGCCGUAGCGAAAGCGAGUCUGAAUAGGGCGUUUAGUAUUUGGUCGUAGACCCGAAACCAGGUGAUCUACCCUUGGUCAGGUUGAAGUUCAGGUAACACUGAAUGGAGGACCGAACCGACUUACGUUGAAAAGUGAGCGGAUGAACUGAGGGUAGCGGAGAAAUUCCAAUCGAACCUGGAGAUAGCUGGUUCUCUCCGAAAUAGCUUUAGGGCUAGCCUCAAGUGAUGAUUAUUGGAGGUAGAGCACUGUUUGGACGAGGGGCCCCUCUCGGGUUACCGAAUUCAGACAAACUCCGAAUGCCAAUUAAUUUAACUUGGGAGUCAGAACAUGGGUGAUAAGGUCCGUGUUCGAAAGGGAAACAGCCCAGACCACCAGCUAAGGUCCCAAAAUAUAUGUUAAGUGGAAAAGGAUGUGGCGUUGCCCAGACAACUAGGAUGUUGGCUUAGAAGCAGCCAUCAUUUAAAGAGUGCGUAAUAGCUCACUAGUCGAGUGACACUGCGCCGAAAAUGUACCGGGGCUAAACAUAUUACCGAAGCUGUGGAUUGUCCUUUGGACAAUGGUAGGAGAGCGUUUUAAGGGCGUUGAAGCAUGAUCGUAAGGACAUGUGGAGCGCUUAGAAGUGAGAAUGCCGGUGUGAGUAGCGAAAGACGGGUGAGAAUCCCGUCCACCGAUUGACUAAGGUUUCCAGAGGAAGGCUCGUCCGCUCUGGGUUAGUCGGGUCCUAAGCUGAGGCCGACAGGCGUAGGCGAUGGAUAACAGGUUGAUAUUCCUGUACCACCUAUAAUCGUUUUAAUCGAUGGGGGGACGCAGUAGGAUAGGCGAAGCGUGCGAUUGGAUUGCACGUCUAAGCAGUAAGGCUGAGUAUUAGGCAAAUCCGGUACUCGUUAAGGCUGAGCUGUGAUGGGGAGAAGACAUUGUGUCUUCGAGUCGUUGAUUUCACACUGCCGAGAAAAGCCUCUAGAUAGAAAAUAGGUGCCCGUACCGCAAACCGACACAGGUAGUCAAGAUGAGAAUUCUAAGGUGAGCGAGCGAACUCUCGUUAAGGAACUCGGCAAAAUGACCCCGUAACUUCGGGAGAAGGGGUGCUCUUUAGGGUUAACGCUCAGAAGAGCCGCAGUGAAUAGGCCCAAGCGACUGUUUAUCAAAAACACAGGUCUCUGCUAAACCGUAAGGUGAUGUAUAGGGGCUGACGCCUGCCCGGUGCUGGAAGGUUAAGAGGAGUGGUUAGCUUCUGCGAAGCUACGAAUCGAAGCCCCAGUAAACGGCGGCCGUAACUAUAACGGUCCUAAGGUAGCGAAAUUCCUUGUCGGGUAAGUUCCGACCCGCACGAAAGGCGUAACGAUUUGGGCACUGUCUCAACGAGAGACUCGGUGAAAUCAUAGUACCUGUGAAGAUGCAGGUUACCCGCGACAGGACGGAAAGACCCCGUGGAGCUUUACUGUAGCCUGAUAUUGAAAUUCGGCACAGCUUGUACAGGAUAGGUAGGAGCCUUUGAAACGUGAGCGCUAGCUUACGUGGAGGCGCUGGUGGGAUACUACCCUAGCUGUGUUGGCUUUCUAACCCGCACCACUUAUCGUGGUGGGAGACAGUGUCAGGCGGGCAGUUUGACUGGGGCGGUCGCCUCCUAAAAGGUAACGGAGGCGCUCAAAGGUUCCCUCAGAAUGGUUGGAAAUCAUUCAUAGAGUGUAAAGGCAUAAGGGAGCUUGACUGCGAGACCUACAAGUCGAGCAGGGUCGAAAGACGGACUUAGUGAUCCGGUGGUUCCGCAUGGAAGGGCCAUCGCUCAACGGAUAAAAGCUACCCCGGGGAUAACAGGCUUAUCUCCCCCAAGAGUUCACAUCGACGGGGAGGUUUGGCACCUCGAUGUCGGCUCAUCGCAUCCUGGGGCUGUAGUCGGUCCCAAGGGUUGGGCUGUUCGCCCAUUAAAGCGGUACGCGAGCUGGGUUCAGAACGUCGUGAGACAGUUCGGUCCCUAUCCGUCGUGGGCGUAGGAAAUUUGAGAGGAGCUGUCCUUAGUACGAGAGGACCGGGAUGGACAUACCUCUGGUGUACCAGUUGUCGUGCCAACGGCAUAGCUGGGUAGCUAUGUGUGGACGGGAUAAGUGCUGAAAGCAUCUAAGCAUGAAGCCCCCCUCAAGAUGAGAUUUCCCAACUUCGGUUAUAAGAUCCCUCAAAGAUGAUGAGGUUAAUAGGUUCGAGGUGGAAGCAUGGUGACAUGUGGAGCUGACGAAUACUAAUCGAUCGAAGACUUAAUCAA
rnacentral:rRNA from 1 species